rnacentral:rRNA from 1 species
AUACGAAGGUGGCAAGCGUUGUUCGGAAUCACUGGGCUUGAAGGGCGUGUAGGCGGCUAGGCAAGUCAGAGGUGAAAUCCCUCGGCUCAACCGAGGAAUUGCCUUUGAAACUGCCUGGCUUGAGCUGCUUAGGGGUCCGUGGAACUCUCGGUGGAGCGGUGGAAUGCGUAGAUAGCGAGAGGAACGCCGAUGGUGAAAACAACGGACUGGGCGCAUGCUGACGCUGAGGCGCGAAAGCGUGGGUAGCAAACGGGAUUAGAAACCCCAGUAGUCC